rnacentral:rRNA from 1 species
GCUACACAUGCAGUCGAGCGACUCUAUCAAGGAUCUUGCUCCUUUGACGUUAGCGGCGGACGGAUGAUUACCACGUGGGCAACCUACCUUAUAGUUUGGGAUAACUCCGGGAAACCGGGGCUAAUACCGAAUAAUCUGUUUCACCUCAUGGUGAAAUAUUGAAAGACGGUUUCGGCUGUCGCUAUAGGAUGGGCCCGCGGCGCAUUAUCUAUUUGGUGAGGUAACGGCUCACCAAGGCGACAAUGCGUAGCCGACCUGAGAGGGUGAUCGGCCACCCUGGGACUGAGACGCGGCCCAGACUCCUACGGGAGGCAGCAGUACGGAAUCUUCCACAAUGGGCGAAAGCCUGAUGGAUCAACGCCGCGUGAGUGAAGAAGGAUUUCGGUUCGUAAAACUCUGUUGUAAGGGAAGAACAAGUACCGUAGUAACUGGCUGUACCUUGACGGUACCUUAUUAUAAAGCCACGGCUAACUACGUGCCACCAACCGCGGUAAUACAUAGGUGGCAAGCGUUGUCCGGAAUUAUUGUGCGUAAAGCGCGCGCAAGUGGUUUCUUAAGUCUGAUGUGAAAGCCCACGGCUCAACCGUGGAGGGUCAUUGAAAACUGGGAGAC